ACCUCCUGGCCUAGGCGGUUGCACCGCCUGGUGCAAUCAGGGUCCGAAUGGUUAGCUUCAUUCGGCCCAAUCUCAAUCUUUUCAGGGGCCCAAUUGCCCCAAGAUUAAGCUAAUGGGAUCACCUCCCAUUUUCAAGCUUAAUCAAUGUGCUAACUACGAUUAAAUCUAAGACAACUUCUGUAGCUUUGCUCCGAUGCGUCAAUCGCUUCUUCCGGCGAGUUUCCGGCGAACUUCCGUCGAUCAUCCGAUGAACCCUCAGUGAUUCUUUUGCGGACAUCCGGCAAACUCCUGGACUUUGCGACGAUCCACUUGGCGAGUUCGGAUGAGCUUCGCUUGGCAAGCUUCUGGACUUCUCGGAUCUGUUCUCGCAGAACCUCCGACGACCGUCCGAACUUCCGUCGAACUCUCGAACUCCCAACGUGUUCAUGAUCUUGACUCCGGCGCAACUCCUGCUGCUUGUCUGACUUUCAUCAUACUUAAUCCUGCACACCUAUCUCAACACAUAGAUUAGACAACAAAUGACAAUUGACUUCAUCAUCAAAAUCCGAGAUUUAACAGUUGUACCGCCGGCCGACCCCGAUCUUCUGUGAAGGGUUCGAGUUGGAGCAUGCAUGUCGGGACCCGAAAGAUGGUGAACUAUGCCUGAGCGAGGCAAAGCCAGAGGAAACUCUGGUGGAGGCCCGAAGCGAUACUGACGUGCAAAUCAUUCGUUUGACUUGGGUAUAGGGGCGAAAGACUUAUCGAACCAUCUCGUAGCUGGUUCCCUCCGAAGUUUCCCUCAGGAUAGCUAGUAACCACAUGUGAGUUCUAUCGGGUAAAGCCAAUGAUUAGAGGCAUCGAGGGCGCAAUGCUCUCGAACUAUUCUCAAACUUUAAAUAGGUAGGAUGGCGCGAAUGCUUCGUUGAGCCGCGUUGCGGAAUCGAGAGCUCCAAGUGGGCCAUUUUUGGUAAGCAGAACUGGCGAUGCGGGAAGAACCAGAAGACGGGUUACGGUGCCCAACUGCACACUAUCCCAGACACCACAAAGGGUGUUGGUUAAUUAAGAUAGCAGGACGGUGGUCAUGGAAGUCAAAAUCCGCUAAGGAGUGUGUAACAACUCACCUGCCGAAUCAACUAGCCCCAAAAAUGGAUGGCGUUGAAGCAUGCGACCCACACCCAGCCAUCGGGGCGAGCGCCAAGCCCCGAUGAGUAGGAGGGCACGACAGUCGCCGCAAAACCCAGGGCGCGAGCCCGGGCGGAGCUGCUGUCGGUGCAGAUCUUGGUGGUAGUAGUAAAUAUUCAAAUGAGAACUUUGAAGGCUGAAGAGGGGAAAGGUUCCAUGUGAAUGACACUUGCACAUGAGUUAGCCGAUCCUAAGGGACGGGGGAAGCCCGUCCAAGACCGUGUCUCCGCGCAAGCUCCGAAAGGGAAUCGGGUUAAAAUUCCCAAGCCGGGACGCGGCGGCGGACGGCAACGUUAGGAAGUUCGGAGACGUCGGCAGGGGCCUCGGGAAGAGUUAUCUUUCCUGCUUAAUGACCCACCCACCCUAGAAAUGGCUCAGCCGGAGGUAGGGUCCAGUAGUCGGAAGAGCGCUGCACGUCGUGCGACAUCUGUUGCGCCCCCGACGGCCCUUGAAAAUCCAAGGUGAACAACCUCUGGCCCAUGGAACAAUGUAGGCAAGGGAAGUCGGCAAAACGGAUCUGUAACUUCGGGAAAAGGAUUGGCUCUGAGGGCUGGUAACGGGGGUCCCAGCCCCGAACCCGUCAGUUGUCGGCGGACUGCUCGAGCUGCUCUAGCGGUGAGAGCGGGUCGCCGUGUGCCGACCGGGGGACGGACCGGGAACGGCUCCCUCAGGGGCCUUCCCCGGGCAUCGAACAGCCUACUCAGAACUGGUACGGACAAGGGGAAUCCGACUGUUUAAUUAAAACAAAGCAUUACGAUGGUCCCCGUGGAUGCUCACGCAAUGUGAUUUCUGCCCAGUGCUCUGAAUGUCAAAGUGAAGAAUUCAACCAAGCAUGGGUAAACGGCGGGAGUAACUAUGACUCUCUUAAGGUAGCCAAAUGCCUCGUCAUCUAAUUAGUGACGCGCAUGAAUGAAUUAACGAGAUUCCCACUGUCCCUAUCUACUAUCCAAUGAAACCACAGCCAAGGGAACGGGCUUGGCAGAAUCCGCGAGGAAAGAAGACCCUAUUGAGCUUCACUCUAGUCUAACUUUGGGAAAUGACUUGAGAGGUGUAGGAUACGUGGGAGCCAGUUCGCCGACGGAAGUGAAAUACCACUACUUUUAACGUUAUUUUACUCAUUCCAUGAGUCAGAGGCGGGGCCCAACCCCUCCUUUUGGAUCCAAGGCCCUCCUAGCAGGCCGAUCUGGGUGGAAGACAUUGUUAGAUGGGGAGUUUGGCUAGGGUGGCACAUCUGUUAAAAGAUAAUGCAGGUGUCCUAAGAUGAGCUCAACAAGAACAUAAAUCUUGUGUGGAACAAAAGGGUAAAAGCUCGUUUGAUUCUGAUUUCUAGUACGAAUACGAACCGUGAAAACAUGGCCUAUCGAUCCUUUAGACCUUUGAAAAUUGAAGAUAGAGGUGUCAGAAAAGUUACCACAGGGAUAACUUGCUUGUGGCAGCCAAGCGUUCAUAGCGACGAUACUUUUUGAUCCUUCUAUUUCGGCUCUUCCUAUCAUUGUGAAGCAGAAUUCACCAAGUGUUGGAUUGUUCACCCACCAAUAGGGAACGUGAGCUGGGUUUAGACCAUCCUGCGAUAGGUUAGUUUUACCCUACUGAUGAUUGUGCCGCGAUAGUAAUUAAACCUAGUACGAGAGGAACCAUUGAUUCACACAAUUGGUCAUCGUGCUUGGUUGAAAAGCCAGUGGCGCGAAGCUAGCGUGUCUCGGAUUAUGACUGAAUGCCUCUAAGUCAGAAUCCUAGCUAACAACCAGCGCUCUUGCCCGUCAUUCGCCUCCUGACCCACAGUAGGGGCCUUUGGCCCCCAUGGGCUCAUGUCACUAGUGUAGCCCCCGUGGUGGUAUAGCCACGGGUGGCCAUCGGGAAGUGAAAUGCCACACGGACGAUGGGCCGAAUCCUUUGUAG
rnacentral:rRNA from 1 species